rnacentral:rRNA from 1 species
AAUAGAUACCCACGGUAGUCCACGCUCGUAAACUAUGAGUACUAGAUGUUGGUAGGGGAACCGUAUUGGUAUCGAAGCUAACGCGAUAAGUAUUCCGCCUGGGAAGUACGGCCGCAAGGUUGAAACUCAAAUGAAUUGACGGGGGCCCGCACAAGCGGUGGAGCAUGUGGUUUAAUUCGAUGCAACGCGAAGAACCUUACCUACCCUUGACAUCCUGUGAACCUGACUUAGUAGUUGGGGUGCCGAAAGGAGCACAGAGACAGGUGCUGCAUGGCUGUCGUCAGCUCGUGUUGUGAGAUGUUGGGUUAAGUCCCGUAACGAGCGCAACCCUUGCCCUUAGUUGCCAUCAUUUAGUUGGGGACUCUAAGGGGACCGCCAGUGAUGGAACUGGAGGAAGGCGGGGACGACGUCAAGUCAUCAUGGCCUUUAUGGGUAGGGCCCACACACGUGCUACAAUGGGGGCGUACAGAGGGUCGCGAACCCGCGAGGGGGGAGCUAAUCGUCAUAAAGCGUCUCGUAGUCCGGAUUGGAGUCUGCAACUCGACUCC